rnacentral:rRNA from 1 species
GACGAACGCUGGCGGCGUGCCUAAUACAUGCAAGUAGAACGCUGAAGAGAGGAGCUUACUCUUCUUGGAUGAGUUGCGAACGGGUGAGUAACGCGUAGGUAACCUGCCUUGUAGCGGGGGAUAACUAUUGGAAACGAUAGCUAAUACCGCAUAACAAUGGAUGACACAUGUCAUUUAUUUGAAAGGGGCAAUUGCUCCACUACAAGAUGGACCUGCGUUGUAUUAGCUAGUAGGUGAGGUAAUGGCUCACCUAGGCGACGAUACAUAGCCGACCUGAGAGGGUGAUCGGCCCCACUGGGACUGAGACACGGCCCAGACUCCUACGGGAGGCAGCAGUAGGGAAUCUUCGGCAAUGGGGGCAACCCUGACCGAGCAACGCCGCGUGAGUGAAGAAGGUUUUCGGAUCGUAAAGCUCUGUUGUAAGUCAAGAACGGGUGUGAGAGUGGAAAGUUCACACUGUGACGGUAGCUUACCAGAAAGGGACGGCUAACUACGUG